UCUCAGCCUCUGCCUCUCUUUCUUACACUCAGCUUCUACACAACCACGUUAUUCUCCUCCACUCACUCUCGUCUACAUAACCACGUUUCUACACUAAUUUCUGGUUUCGUCUCAUCUAUCUCUGCCUCAUGCGAGUCACUAGAGCACACGACGUCGGUGCGAGCUUCCGGAGGACACAAUGGCGGUGGGUUUUCUGGUUCGCUCUCUCUCCUCUCCUCUUUCACCGAUCCGCCCUCCAAACGACGCUGCCACCUCUAUGACGCCGACGCGAACGCCGGUACCCGCGAACUACACCUCUACGACGCCAACGUCGCUAUGAAGAAAAAAUCAGUUUGAUUUUAAGGUAUAUCUACUUGAUGAGUCGAUGGCAAAGUUGCAUUUAUUUCUUGGUCGACAACUAGGGAAUAGCUCAGGUAUUUCUGAAUUUUGGGGACUUGAGAUGGGGCAAUGUCUUUAUUUGGUUCAUACCUGGAUUCUGAAACUGUUCUACAUAAAAGUUGAGGGAAAGGGGGAGUUUCAGUCCCACACUAUUUACUAGGUCUGUCCCUGCAUAAUAAAAUUCAAUGAUAUUUUCUAGGUUGUUUUGUUGCAGGGGUGGUUCACUUUAUUCAGGUGAUCAUCAUCCUGAAGCACUUCGCCAGCUAGAUCAGCAUUUGAAAACAUAAAAGAAAGUAUACUACCAUUGUUUUUUUUUUUUUGUUCUUUGCAACAGUUUAUGCUAUUUCAAAUUGGAGGUGGUUCCUGAUAGCUUUUUGCCAUGUUAUUGGAAGUGAGAUUGAAUCUUUAGUGGAGCUGAAGGUGGUGUUUCAUAAUUGUAAAGAUAUAGAAAAUGAUAUUGUGUUCAAGAUACAAAGGUUAAUUCAUUGCACUAUUUCCUUUAAAAAUCAUGAUCACUGAGAUUGAUUAAUUUCCUUGCAUAUUCUGUACUAUGUAUUGAAACUUCUGUUUUGAUAAUAAUAAUAAACCAUAUAUACAUUUUUAUAAUUGUAGAUUAAUUUUAUAUAUCUUUCAUAUUUUAUUUUGCUUUUUUUGGUUUAAAUCUUUAUGUUAUUUUUAUGUUUAGUGCACCUGCAUUUUAUUGAAUUAUAUCCAAAUGUAGUACUUCCUCUUUUAUAAUUUGGAAUUAGGAAGACAUCUUGGAUUAAUCCUCUUUUAUCUUCAAGUUUGCUGAAGACAACUCUGCUCUCAUAAUAUACUUUUAGGUGGUCAAAAUCUUGAUGAUACAAUUCGAAAAUGGCACCAAAAAUACCAAUGAAGAAAUGGCGCAAAGGAUCUCAGGACUUGCUAAACCUGCUCCUGUUAUAGAAACUUUUUGUACCGAUGAAUUAGUUUUGCAGCAUGUGAAACUUGAUGGAAUUGUUACUUUGGUUGAUUCCAAGAACGCAAUGCAAAACCUUAAUGAAAUAAAACCAAGAUUUGUGGUUAACGAGGCUGUAGAACAAAUUGCUUAUGCUGAUUGUAUUAUUUUUGAACAAGGUGACUGGACAAUAACACUUUGAGUGGAGCAAUUCCUGCAUCUUUGGCUAACAUGACACGGCUUGCCUUCCUACACAACCAGAUGGCAACAAACAACUUCAGCAGCAAGUACUUGGUUGGAAAAGGUGAUUUUGGAAAUGUCUACAAAGGCUGUCUCAGAGAUGGUACAGUAGUAGUUGUUAAAAGGCUUAAAGAUGGUAAUGCCAUUGGUGGUGAGAUUCAAUUCCAAACUGAAGUUGAGAUGAUCAGGUUGGCAGUUCACAUGAACCUUCUUCAGCUUUUUGGGUUUUGUAUGACGGCCUCUGAGAGGCUCUUAGUUUACCUCUAUAUGGUAAUGCCAUGGAGCAAGUUUCAUGCAUGAUUUACUUUUGUGUAUCUUGUAAUGUUUCUGUUUUUCAUUUUUGAAGUAAAAAAUGUUCAAGAUUAUAAAACUUUAUUAUGUUAUGCUUUCAAACUUAAGUUAUAACUAAGAUCUCAUGAAGUAGACACAUUCAUGGUUUGAAUUAGUUAUUGUUUAAUGUAAUACUUAUAGUUUAUCAAUCUAUUGAG